rnacentral:rRNA from 1 species
CAUACCAUGCUGAAUAUACCGGUUCUCGUUAGAUCACCGAAGUCAAGCAUCAUUGGGCGCGGUCAGUACUUUGGUGGGUGACCACCUGGGAACACCUCGUGCCGUU